rnacentral:misc_RNA from 1 species
GUCUUUUGNGNACCCACGUUUCCUCGGCAGGCUUGCCUGCCGAUUGGACAAACCUACAACCUUUUUAAUUUUCAAUCAGCGUCUGAAAAACUUAAUAAUUACAACUUUCAACAACGGAUCUCUUGGUUCUGGCAUCGAUGAAGAACGCAGCGAAAUGCGAUAAGUAGUGUGAAUUGCAGAAUUCAGUGAAUCAUCGAAUCUUUGAACGCACAUUGCGCCCCUUGGUAUUCCAUGGGGCAUGCCUGUUCGAGCGUCAUUUGUACCCUCAAGCUCUGCUUGGUGUUGGGUGUUUGUCCUCUCCCUAGUGUUUGGACUCGCCUUAAAAUAAUUGGCAGCCAGUGUUUUGGUAUUGAAGCGCAGCACAAGUCGCGAUUCUUAUC